rnacentral:rRNA from 1 species
UACGUAGGCAGCGAGCGUUGUUCGGAGUUACUGGGCGUAAAGAGUGCGUAGGCGGUUUUCUAAGUUUGGUGUGAAAUCUCCCGGCUUAACUGGGAGGGUGCGCCGAAAACUGGAAGGCUUGAGUAUGGGAGAGGUAAGCGGAAUUCCUGGUGUAGCGGUGAAAUGCGUAGAUAUCGGGAGGAACACCAGUGGCGUAAGCGAUUACCUGGGCUAGACCUGACGCUGAGGGACGAAGGCGUGGGAAGCAAACGGG